rnacentral:rRNA from 1 species
AAAUUGAAGAGUUUGAUCAUGGCUCAGAUUGAACGCUGGCGGCAGGCCUAACACAUGCAAGUCGAACGGUAACAGGAAGAAGCUUGCUGCUUUGCUGACGAGUGGCGGACGGGUGAGUAAUGUCUGGGAAACUGCCUGAUGGAGGGGGAUAACUACUGGAAACGGUAGCUAAUACCGCAUAACGUCGCAAGACCAAAGAGGGGGACCUUCGGGCCUCUUGCCAUCGGAUGUGCCCAGAUGGGAUUAGCUUGUUGGUGGGGUAACGGCUCACCAAGGCGACGAUCCCUAGCUGGUCUGAGAGGAUGACCAGCCACACUGGAACUGAGACACGGUCCAGACUCCUACGGGAGGCAGCAGUGGGGAAUAUUGCACAAUGGGCGCAAGCCUGAUGCAGCCAUGCCGCGUGUAUGAAGAAGGCCUUCGGGUUGUAAAGUACUUUCAGCGGGGAGGAAGGGAGUAAAGUUAAUACCUUUGCUCAUUGACGUUACCCGCAGAAGAAGCACCGGCUAACUCCGUGCCAGCAGCCGCGGUAAUACGGAGGGUGCAAGCGUUAAUCGGAAUUACUGGGCGUAAAGCGCACGCAGGCGGUUUGUUAAGUCAGAUGUGAAAUCCCCGGGCUCAACCUGGGAACUGCAUCUGAUACUGGCAAGCUUGAGUCUCGUAGAGGGGGGUAGAAUUCCAGGUGUAGCGGUGAAAUGCGUAGAGAUCUGGAGGAAUACCGGUGGCGAAGGCGGCCCCCUGGACGAAGACUGACGCUCAGGUGCGAAAGCGUGGGGAGCAAACAGGAUUAGAUACCCUGGUAGUCCACGCCGUAAACGAUGUCGACUUGGAGGUUGUGCCCUUGAGGCGUGGCUUCCGGAGCUAACGCGUUAAGUCGACCGCCUGGGGAGUACGGCCGCAAGGUUAAAACUCAAAUGAAUUGACGGGGGCCCGCACAAGCGGUGGAGCAUGUGGUUUAAUUCGAUGCAACGCGAAGAACCUUACCUGGUCUUGACAUCCACGGAAGUUUUCAGAGAUGAGAAUGUGCCUUCGGGAACCGUGAGACAGGUGCUGCAUGGCUGUCGUCAGCUCGUGUUGUGAAAUGUUGGGUUAAGUCCCGCAACGAGCGCAACCCUUAUCCUUUGUUGCCAGCGGUCCGGCCGGGAACUCAAAGGAGACUGCCAGUGAUAAACUGGAGGAAGGUGGGGAUGACGUCAAGUCAUCAUGGCCCUUACGACCAGGGCUACACACGUGCUACAAUGGCGCAUACAAAGAGAAGCGACCUCGCGAGAGCAAGCGGACCUCAUAAAGUGCGUCGUAGUCCGGAUUGGAGUCUGCAACUCGACUCCAUGAAGUCGGAAUCGCUAGUAAUCGUGGAUCAGAAUGCCACGGUGAAUACGUUCCCGGGCCUUGUACACACCGCCCGUCACACCAUGGGAGUGGGUUGCAAAAGAAGUAGGUAGCUUAACCUUCGGGAGGGCGCUUACCACUUUGUGAUUCAUGACUGGGGUGAAGUCGUAACAAGGUAACCGUAGGGGAACCUGCGGUUGGAUCACCUCCUUACCUUAAAGAA